CCUGGUUGAUCCUGCCAGUAGUCAUAUGCUUGUCUCAAAGAUUAAGCCAUGCACGUGUAUGUGCAAGCCAUCCUAAGGUGAAACCGCGAAUGGCUCAUUAAAUCAGUUAUGGUUCAUUAGAUGGUCUCCACUGUUACUUGGAUAACUGUGGUAAUUCUAGAGCUAAUACAUGCAAACAGAGUCCUGACCAGAGAUGGGAGGGACGCUUUUAUUAGAUCAAAACCAAUCGGACGUCUGUCCAGUGUGCUGGGAAACCUCAUGCUGGCUGGCUCCGUUUGUCUUGGUGACUCUGAAUAAGAAAUUGAUCGCAAAGUCUCGAACUGGCGACGCAUCUUUCAAAUGUCUGCCUUAUCAACUGUCGAUGGUAGGUUCCUUGCCUACCAUGGUUGUAACGGGUAACGGGGAAUCAGGGUUCGAUUCCGGAGAGGGAGCCUGAGAAACGGCUACCACAUCCAAGGAAGGCAGCAGGCGCGCAAAUUACCCACUCCCGGCACGGGGAGGUAGUGACGAAAAAUAACGAUGCGGGACUCAUCCGAGGCCCCGUAAUCGGAAUGAGAACACUUUAAAUCCUUUAACGAGUAUCCAUUGGAGGGCAAGUCUGGUGCCAGCAGCCGCGGUAAUUCCAGCUCCAAUAGCGUAUAUUAAAGUUGUUGCGGUUAAAAAGCUCGUAGUUGAAUUUGUGUCUCACGCUGUCGGUUCAGGGCCUGUCCCUGUUUAACUGACAUGUUUCGUGCGGACGUCCUGCCGGUGGACUAGUUUUCCUGCCCUUGAUUGUUGUUCCACUUAGUGGAGAUUAUGUCCACGUGGGUUUAGGUACGGGCUAUGAUUUUCCUGGUUAGGACAGGUGCUAGGAGAUACAGGUUAGCGGAGAUAGUGUCAAAGCUGUUUCUGCGCUCGGUCUCCUUCCCUAUCCGCUGGGUUCUCAUGGUUUUAGGCCUUGCCUACAUCAUGGCUUUUCAAAGCUGGGUGGCACUUCCUUGGGUUUGGACUAGUCCUUUUGUUUAUCCUAUCGUGGUGCUCUUCAUCGAGUGUCCCGGUGGGCCGGCACGUUUACUUUGAACAAAUUAGAGUGCUUAAAGCAGGCAAGCUUCGCCUGAAUAUUCUGUGCAUGGAAUAAUGGAACAGGACCUCGGUUCUAUUUUGUUGGUUUUCGGAGCACGAGGUAAUGAUUAAAAGGGACCGAUGGGGGCAUUCGUAUUGCGACGUUAGAGGUGAAAUUCUUGGAUCGUCGCAAGACGGACCUAAGCGAAAGCAUUUGCCAAAGACGUUUUCACUAAUCAAGAACGAAAGUUAGAGGUUCGAAGGCGAUCAGAUACCGCCCUAGUUCUAACCAUAAACGAUGCCAGCUAGCGAUCCGCCCAAGUUCCUCCGAUGACUAGGCGGGCAGCCCCCGGGAAACCAAAGCUUUUGGGUUCCGGGGGAAGUAUGGUUGCAAAGCUGAAACUUAAAGGAAUUGACGGAAGGGCAUCUUCGGGGAGAAGCGACUACUUAACUCCCCUUCAUGAACUUGCUCGACAAUGUAUAAAGGCAUUAAUGUGAUUAUUUACACAUACUGUACAAUAAUUGUACAUUGUCAACAAACGUUAAAAUAUUGUUGCUCAUUGAUGCAUCACCAAUAAUUCCAUGUGAUUUUACUCACAGCCUACCUUCACCAAUUGUUUAGGUUUUAGGCUGGAAGGAUUUAAAAACUGCCCCUAUCCAUGUCUGCACCCCAGAAAAUGAGAGGUGUUAACACGUCUUGACCCAACACCUCCGUCUCUC
rnacentral:rRNA from 1 species